CAGCCGCCACGGUAAUACGAAGGGGGCUAGCGUUGCUCGGAAUGACUGGGCGUAAAGGGCGCGUAGGCGGCGAUCAAAGUCAGGCGUGAAAUUCCUGGGCUCAACCUGGGGGCUGCGCUUGAUACUUGGUUGCUUGAGUGGGGAAGAGGGUCGUGGAAUUCCCAGUGUAGAGGUGAAAUUCGUAGAUAUUGGGAAGAACACCGGUGGCGAAGGCGGCGACCUGGUCCUUGACUGACGCUGAGGCGCGAAAGCGUGGGGAGCAAACAGGAUUAGAUACCCCCGUAGUCCCUGUCUCUUAUAC
rnacentral:rRNA from 1 species